UACGAAGGGGGCUAGCGUUGCUCGGAUUUACUGGGCGUAAAGGGCGCGUAGGCGGACAGUUAAGUUGGGGGUGAAAGCCCGGGGCUCAACCUCGGAAUUGCCUUCAAUACUGGCUGUCUUGAGUGUGAGAGAGGUGAGUGGAAUUCCGAGUGUAGAGGUGAAAUUCGUAGAUAUUCGGAAGAACACCAGUGGCGAAGGCGACUCACUGGACAUGUAUUGACGCUGAGGUGCGAAAGCGUGGGGAGCAAACAGG
rnacentral:rRNA from 1 species